GAUGAACGCUGGCGGCGUGCCUAAUACAUGCAAGUCGAACGAAGAUCUAGCUUGCUAGAUCUUAGUGGCGAACGGGUGAGUAAUACAUAAAUAAUCUGCCCAUAUGACUGGGAUAACUAUUGGAAACGAUAGCUAAUACCGGAUAGGUUGAUUGGAGGCAUCUCUGAUUAAUUAAAGUAGGAUUUCUACACAAAUGGAUGAGUUUAUGGCGCAUUAGUUAGUUGGUGGGGUAACGGCCUACCAAGACGAUGAUGCGUAGCCGACCUGAGAGGGUGACCGGCCACCCUGGGGCUGAGACACGGCCCAGACUCCUACGGGAGGCAGCAGAAGGGAAUUUUCGGCAAUGGGCGCAAGCCUGACCGAGCAACGCCGCGUGAGUGAUUAAGGCCUUCGGGUUGUAAAGCUCUGUUGUAAGGAAAGAACAUUCAGGAUAGGAAAUGAUCUUGAACUGACGGUACCUUACCAGAAAGCCACGGCUAACUACGUGCCAGCCGCCGCCGUAAAAC
rnacentral:rRNA from 1 species